GACGAACGCUGGCGGCGUGCUUAACACAUGCAAGUCGAACGAUGAUCCGAGAGCUUGCUCUUGGGGAUUAGUGGCGAACGGGUGAGUAACACGUGAGUAACCUGCCCUGGACUCUGGGAUAACCCCGAGAAAUCGGAGCUAAUACCGGAUAGGACCUUGCACCGCAUGGUGUGGGGUGGAAAGUUUUUUCGGUCUGGGAUGGACUCGCGGCCUAUCAGCUUGUUGGUGAGGUAAUGGCUCACCAAGGCGUCGACGGGUAGCCGGCCUGGGAGGGUGACCGGCCACACUGGGACUGAGACACGGCCCAGACUCCUACGGGAGGCAGCAGUGGGGAAUAUUGCACAAUGGGCGCAAGCCUGAUGCAGCAACGCCGCGUGCGGGAUGACGGCCUUCGGGUUGUAAACCGCUUUUAGUAAGGAAGAAGGGGAGCUUGCUCCUUGACGGUACUUGCAGAAAAAGGACCGGCUAACUACGUGCCAGCCGCCGCAGUAAAAC
rnacentral:rRNA from 1 species